ACCUGGCUGGCUUAGUUGGUAGAGCAUAUGACUCUUGAUCUUGGGAUUGUAAGUUCAAGUCCCAUGUCGGGUG
rnacentral:tRNA from 1 species